GAUGCUGGCUGAUGGUGGAGGUACCUAAAAAAUUCAAAGCGAUGCUGAGCAUCCUUUUGGAAUUCCUGGUCCAGCUUAUAAGCAAGGAAAUCUUCUCUGUCGACAACGAGGAACUCUGUUUCUUCCAUACAGACCAUGGUGGCUCUCCAUACCAAAGGAUUCAGAAGGCCCAAUUCCUGUUGGAUGGACAUGGAAAUGGGGAACAUGUUCCUUAAACAUCCAGAUGGAGGAGCCAGCCUCGGACAUCACCUGGUCCAGUCAAUUGGCCUGUGACAGAAGGUAAUGGGGAACACAAAAGUCUGGAAAGAGGAGACAGCCCAGAUGACAAUGCCUAGAUGGAAGAAGACAGGCACAGUCAGCUGGGAAAUGAGCCUGGUAGCAACAGGGAGCCUGGCCCCAUGCUGGGAGGAGUCCUGCACUGCCUUGUGUGCUUCUGGAGCAUGAAGGCACAGACUGGGACCAGAAGAGCCCGCACAGCAGCCCGGCUCCAGCUCAAGCUUGAGCUCUUCACUAACAUCCACCCAGUUGCCUGCCUCCCUCAGACUGAAGCUUCCUGAGAGCAGAGCCUUUGUCAGUUGGCUAAGGCACAGUAAAUGCUCCACACAGUAAAUGCUCAGUGAAUAGCCGCUGAAUAAACG